UACAUGGGGUGCAAACGUUGCUCGGAAUUAUUGGGCGUAAAGCGCACGUAGGUGGUCUGUUAUGUCGGAUGUGAAAGCCCUCGGCUCAACUGAGGAAGUGCAUCCGAAACUGGCAGGCUUGAGUAUGUAAGAGGGUCGCGGAAUUCCCGGUGUAGAGGUGAAAUGCGUAGAUAUUGGGAGGAACACCAGUGGCGAAGGCGGCUCACUGGACCGGUACUGACGCUGAUGCGCGAAAGCGUGGGGAGCAAACGGG
rnacentral:rRNA from 1 species